rnacentral:rRNA from 1 species
AUACGGAGGGUGCAAGCGUUACUCGGAAUCACUGGGCGUAAAGCGCGCGCAGGCGGCUAUUUAAGUUGGAUGUGAAAGCCUACGGCUCAACCGUAGAACUGCAUCCAAAACUAUUUAGCUAGAGUGUGGGAGAGGAAGAUGGAAUUAGUUGUGUAGGGGUAAAAUCCGUAGAGAUAACUAGGAAUACCAAAAGCGGAGGCAAUCUUCUGGAACACUACUGACGCUGAGGCGCGAAAGCGUGGGGAGCAAACGGGAUUAGAAACCCUAGUAGUCC